rnacentral:misc_RNA from 1 species
GAUGAAGAACGUAGCGAAAUGCGAUAAGUAGUGUGAAUUGCAGAAUUCAGUGAAUCAUCGAAUCUUUGAACGCACAUUGCGCCCGCCAGUAUUCUGGCGGGCAUGCCUGUCUGAGCGUCAUUUCAACCCUCAUGCCCCUAGGGCGUGGUGUUGGGGAUCGGCCAAAGCCCGCGAGGGACGGCCGGCCCCUAAAUCUAGUGGCGGACCCGUCGUGGCCUCCUCUGCGAAGUAGUGAUAUUCCGCAUCGGAGAGCGAUGAGCCCCUGCCGUUAAACCCCCAACUUUCCAAGGUUGACCUCAGAUCAGGUAAGAAUACCCGCUGAACUUAAGCAUAUCAAUAAGCGGAGGA